rnacentral:lncRNA from 10 species
ACAGAUUCCCCAUGAAUUGGAUUACUGCCCUAUAAAGAGGCUUCAGAGACCUUGGUCAACCUUUCUUCCGUGUGAGGACACAGCAAGAAGGCACCAUCAAUGAAGCAGUUUCUGUCUUCCUCAACCCCUCAAGAUCAGCGCUUUAGCUGCAAGUAAAUGCCUUCUUGCAUUGGAUUCUUCCCAUAAACUUCCCUGCUCAUUUCUCCCGUGGAUUGGGCCUUCUAUGACUGCACAUAUAUAGUCGCUUCAGAAUAGAAAGCCGCUUUCUCCCUUAGCAAGAUGCUCUUGUUUGGAGGUGCCUAUGGGCUAAGGUUUGCAGAAUCAGCUCCGAGACCACCCCGACUGGGAAGUCAGAUGAGAUGGUCUGUCCUCUUCAGCUAAUGCCCAUUGUCCUUACUGUGGAGUAUCAAAAGAAUAACGGACAUCACUGAAGAAAAUGCACUUAACAUCCUGUUAUAAAACAUAUUUUUAUUUAUUUUUUUCACGUGACUACUUUUCUCUUCACCCCCUACUUUAUUCACACUUUGAGAACAGACUGAAAUGCAUGUAUUUGUAUCCUAAGUGCUCAGAUCUGAUAAGGUCUGAUUGCUGGAAAACAAUGCAUGAGAGUUUAUAUUCAUUUAGCAACAACACACCAGUCUUCUAAACUUAUUCUAAUUUAGACAUGUAAAAAGUACAAUAGCAAUGCAUCUGUAUCUGUCAGACUAAGCUAGCUUAUGCUACAAUUGUAUAUAAAACAAUAGCCUCAGUGACUUAAAACACAAAAGCCUCAUUUCUCACGCAUGCUACAUGUGCAUUGCAGUGGAGUUUGUGCAUCAUAAUGACUCAGGGAUCCAAGCUGACUGAGGCUCUAUCUCCACUUGUUUCCAUGAUCACAAACACAGGAGGAGAGGGAAAUGUGAAGGACAUGCUGGUUUCACAAGAUUUUGCUCAGGAGACAGAUGUCAAUUUCCCUCACAGUUCAUUGAUCAAAGCAAGUUGAAAGGAGAAGAUAGAUAUGAAUGGGGUAGAGAAUUCUAAUCCUCUCCUAAAGAGAUAAUGAAUAUUGCUCCCAAAUAUUUUCCCCAAAGCUAGGAGAAGAGGCUUCAAAUUCAACAAAUCAGGCUGAAAAGCCUAUACUCUUAAUCCUAUCAAUCUAUCUGUGUAAUUACUAUACAUAACUAUAUGUGCUAUCUCGGAACACAUACAAACAUACACAUACUCACACAAAUACAUAAGUAGAUGUAUAUUCCUUUUUAGCGUAUUACAAAAUGUAAAACCAUUUCCAGAUUUCUGUCCACAUCUAGAUCUCCCUUUGCCCCAAUAUUA